GGAGAGGUAGCUCAAUGGUUAAAGAGCACUGGCUGCUCUUCCAGAGGACCUGGGUUUAAUUCCCAGCAACCACA
rfam:Rattus norvegicus chromosome 16, whole genome shotgun sequence.